rnacentral:rRNA from 1 species
AAGGUGGGGAUGACGUCAAAUCAGCAUGGUUCUUAUAUCUUGGGCGACACACGUGCUACAAUGGGAAGUACAAAGGGACGCCAAGCCGUAAGGUGGAGCAAAUCCCCCAAAACUUUUCUCAGUUCGGAUUGAGGUCUGCAACUCGACCUCAUGAAGCCGGAAUCGCUAGUAAACGCGGAUCAGCUAUGCCGCGUUGAAUACGUUCUCGGGUCUUGUACUCACCGCCCGUCACACCAAGAGAGCCGAUAAUGCCCGAAGCGCCUCCUUAGAGGCACAAAGGCAGGAUUGGUAAUAAGGGUGAAGUCGUAACAAGGCAUCCGUAGCGGAAGCUGUGGAUGGAUCACCUCCUUUCUAGGGAG